AACGAACGCUGGCGGCAUGCCUAACACAUGCAAGUCGAACGAGACCUUCGGGUCUAGUGGCGCACAGGUGCGUAACGCGUGGGAACCUGCCCUUAGGCUCGGAAUAACUCCCCGAAAGGGGUGCUAAUACCGGAUAAUGUCUUCGGACCAAAGAUUUAUCGCCUUUGGAUGGGCCCGCGUUGGAUUAGCCGGUUGGUAGGGUAAAAGCCUACCACGGCGACGAUCCAUAGCUGGUCUGAGAGGAUGAUCAGCCACACUGGGAGUAGGACACGGCCCAGACUCCUGCGGGAGGCAGCAGUGGGGAAUAUUGGACAAUGGGCGGAAGCCUGAUCCAGCAAGGCCGCGUGAGUGAUGAAGGCCUUAGGGUUGUAAAGCUCUUUUACCCGGGAUGAUAAUGACAGUACCGGGAGAAUAAGCUCCGGCUAACUCCGUG
rnacentral:rRNA from 1 species